rnacentral:rRNA from 1 species
UACGUAGGGGGCAAGCGUUGUCCGGAGUUACUGGGCGUAAAGCGCACGCAGGCGGUCUUCUAAGUUUGGAGUGACAGUUGGUGGCUUAACUGCCAAAGUGCUUCGAAAACUGAGAGACUUGAGGGCUUCAGAGGGACACGGAAUUCCGGGUGGAGUGGUGAAAUGCGUAGAGAUCCGGAGGAACACCAAAGGCGAAGGCAGUGUCCUGGGGAGUACCUGACGCUCAGGUGCGAAAGCCAGGGGAGCGAACGGGG